UACGGAGGGUGCGAGCGUUGUUCGGAUUUACUGGGCGUAAAGGGCGCGUAGGCGGUUUUAUAAGCCAGAUGUGAAAGCCCACGGCUCAACCGUGGAAGUGCAUCUGGAACUGUAAGACUUGAGUACUGGAGGGGAGUGUGGAAUUCCCGGUGUAGAGGUGAAAUUCGUAGAUAUCGGGAGGAAUACCGGUGGCGAAGGCGACACUCUGGACAGAUACUGACGCUGAGGCGCGAAAGCGUGGGGAGCAAAC
rnacentral:rRNA from 1 species